CCCAGUUUUGACCCACAAAUCCUCCUCUUUUAACUCCAAUUCUGCCAUUUCUGACCACAAAAAUGCCCGUGUUUAACCCCAAAUUCCCAGUUUUUAACCAAAAUCCCAACUUUUGACCCCUUAUUGCUGGAUGUUUUUGUACUCUUUUUUUUUUUUUUUUCCUUUAUCCCAGUAUGGGAACUGUCAGGUCCCAGCCUGAGCUGGUGAUUGUGCACCUGGUGAGGGGUGUAGCCAGCCCUGCCAGCACAGGUGGGAGCCAUUCAGCUGUGGGAUUGGAGGGGUGGAGCCUGGCUGCAUCCCUCCCUGGGCUCAUUUAAGGGCUGGCAGCUGUAGGGGCAGCAUCUGUACCUGGAGGCUGCUUCCUUUGGAGUGUGGGGUGAGCCCUGGUCCUUGGAAAGGUGUAUGAAAUUUUUUUCUUUCUUUUUGUGGCUGGGGUCUCUGCCUUUCUUGGGGGAUCUGAAACUGCUUUUAAGUAGCUGUAUCUGCUGUGUGUGUCCCUACGAUGCCCUUCAGUUCUCUAAAGGGGAUGAAGGGGUUAUUUCCCUUUCUCUGACCUGGUGAUGGAGGAGCCAAUGUGCGUUCCUUCCUUUCACUACAGCCUCAUUUCUGGAACGCUUCAAUUAAUCCCCUGGUAAUGCUGGUCAGCUGACCGAGCAUUGCAGCUCUGGGACUGCCUGGAGCUGCUGCCCUGUUCCACAAAAGUGUUCUGCAUUCUCAGGAUCCUGUUUGCACCUUUACUUGUAACCUCGCUUCCUUCUGCUGGAGCCUCUGUUCUGUCUUUCAUGGUUCUCACCUUAAUAUCUUCGCCCUCGGACUCCAAACUCAGUUUCUCUGCUCCCGCAUCGUCCCAGCCCAUUUCAUGACUGCAGUGAACAGUGCCAUGCAUUAAUUCCACCCAUGCAGAGAGUUGUUUAAGGCCGUUCUGUGCCUCAUGAUCACGUACUAAAUUAUGUUCUGUGUCUCUCUUGAUCUCAUCGCAUCUCACAACUCAAUGGGGUUGAAGGGUUCUGUGAUUGCUGGGGCUCCUCUAAUUAGUGGCUUAAGCACUGGGAAAUCUACCAGAGCAGGUAAUGGAACAUCACGAGCCCCUCGUUUGUGCAUUGCUUGUAUGCAGGCAGCUUUAGCGAUGGCUGUGGGAGGCUCAUGGAAUGGGGGUUGCAAGGGGCUCACCUCGCUCCAUGGUGUCUGUUCUCCCAGCCCCAUAAGCUACAUGGCUGGUGAUUGAGUGAGGUGCAUCAGCUGGGUCCUAAGCUGAAGAAAACUCCUGGACUCCAGUAGCCCUUGGCUUCAUCCUCACUCGGCAUAAUACAGUCGUCAUCACUCGAGCAUGCUGACCACAGAUGUUCUGUUCCUGUUUUGCCUGGUUCUCUCCCAUAUUUCCCUUACAAAGUUGUCAAUGCUACUCGAUCCCAGCGCAUAGCCAUCAGAGCACAUUGUGGCUGACCAUCCCAGGGUCCUAUGGUUCUUCCUGUUUUAACAGCAGAUCUGGCUUUAUUUUUACAGAAAAGAAGGGAUUGUCCUCUUCUGGACCACUGUAAUCAGGAUCACCCCAGGUAUCUCCAUCCCAGUUGUCAGGAGAUGCUAUUAGUUCUCUAAUCUGUACGGUACCUGAACACCCACCCCUCUUUCUCCCAUCCCUAACCCCCAUUAAAUAGCUAUCCCUGCAGCUGUGGGACCCGAUGGUGUGACAAAGCGAGGCCUCUGGUCUGCCGAACACUGGGACCUGUGAGAGAGAGAGAGAGAGAGGCCCUGUGACCAUUGUGGAUCGUACCGACAGCUGCGCUCGUCCCAGGCGUCUCGCUGUGGUGCUGCUGGUAAGAGGAAUGUGCACAAGGUGCAGCCCCUGCAUGUGCGGGGCAGAGCCUUCAUUAUUGUAUUGUUUCAACGGGUGGCAGCAAGGAACUGUGGUGCUCCUGGGCACUGCCAGAACUGCAUGGAGAUCUGUGGCUCUUCAUGAAGUCAGCAAGAAAUGGAAAGCUGGAUUUCCUGGGAUGCCCCAGAACCCAAAUUGUCUGUCUGGUAACUGGUUGCCCAUACAGGUAAGGACAAUGUACGCAUACCAGUGUUUACCCAUGACAUAGCGUGGCUCAACAUAGUGCUCCCAGAGCUUGUCAGGGCGCUUUAGGAUACCCUGAUGGCUGCCUGCGAUUUUCCUCCUGAGUUCUCUUUGCCUCUGCCUCUUCCUUGGCUUUCCCUUGGUGGUUGUCCUUGCCCUUGCUUUGCCUUGAUUUUUUUUCUGUGGUGCUUCUGUUGCCUUUGCCUUUCUUAGGUGUUUUCAUUGCCUUUGCCCUCGCCCAGGCCUUCCGUGGCGCGGUCCCCUUGGUCUUUGCCCUCGCCUGGGACUUCCGUGCGGUGUUCUCCUUGCCCUUACUCUUGCCCUCAUUUUGGCUUUCCCUUCGGUGUUCUAAUUGCCUUUGCCCUUGUCUUUACCUUCCCUAGCCGUUCUCUUUGCCUUUGCCUUGGUGUUCCCUUGGGUUUUCUGCUUGCCUUUUCUUCACUGGGAUUGGCUGAGAGGCAGAGUUCAUGUUAGACUUGACCUCAACCCUAACUUUAGUGAGAGCUCUGGAGAUAAUUAUAUUAACCCACAAUGUAACUUUAAACCUAACCCUUAACUGGAUGUUAAAAAAUCUCUAAUGCUCAGUGUAGCAAUAAAAACAAUGCCUGAAGUUUUCUAGGUAACCUUAAGCCUAAUCGUAAUGUUAAAAAAAAAAAAAAAAACAACAACAACAAAAAAAACUGUUCAACUAACCGUAACCUUAAUCC